ensembl:lincRNA
CCUGCUCCGGGGCCUGGGUCUUCGCCCCAUCGAUCCCCCCCAGACCCCUGCCCCGCCGCCUCUCCAGAGCCUGCAGCAGGUGGCUGAACUUGUCAGAGAUCACGGAGGUCAGGGUGCAGGCUGAGUUCUGGGUGGGCACAGGAGGAGCUGAGGACAGCCAGGGCCCUGGGCUGAGGGGUGGGGAGCCAAGGUCUCUCUGACCCCCGCCCCCCGGCCCUUUAUUUCCUGCUGCUGGGAGGCAUUUUCAAAGUAGCUCAUGCCUACUGUUCAGUGUCCCAGGGGCUGGCUGGUGGCCCCCUCAAGGAAGCACAACAAGAAAAUGGGGGGACAGGCCUGAUACCUGGAUCUGGCUGCUUCGCUGCUGCAGCUCCUGUAGCUGCUUCUGGGCCUGGGUGGCCUGCUGCUGGGUGACUUCCAGCGUGGCUCUCAGCUGGGCCUGUGGGCCCACCGGGGACGAGUGACAAGAGGGGGCCAGGACUGGCUGUGAAGUACCCCCUCAGCCAGUCGGCAAGCACCUGCAGAUGCUCAGCCUCCCCGUGUGCCACCCGGGUGAGGCCCGCACACAGGGCAUUCUGAGCCCUGGGGGAACUGGGUCAGGGUCCCAGGGAGGCCUGGACAAAGCCCCUGCCCUGCCGGGAGCAGAGUGGUCCCCAGGUGGUACAGAAACCUCAGGCUUAAUACGAGCAACACGGCUAUAACCUCAGGACUGCAGGAUGGCACCCUUGCUAGGACUUGGGGUCCUGCACCUGGUCAAGAGCCUGUCUUGCUUCUGCUCCUCCCAGUGACACCGGGAAGUGAGGGACCCAUGUUAUCCCCACUUCACAGAAGAGGAAGCAGGUCAGGGAAGUUCAUAACUUGGCCAGGUCAUCCCGGCUACUCACUCCCGUAUCCUCACCCUGGACCUGGCACCGGCUCUGACAUCUCUAUUCCAAGCAUUCCUGUCCUGACCGCCACCUCCUCUCAACCCGGAAUCAAAACAGGGACACAGCCAGCGGCUGAAGCUGCCCCGCCCCCCGCCCGGGCGCAGAGAGCUGUGCGGGUCCCCGGCGAGUCACCUCGCGCGCCCGGCGCUCGGCGUCCAGCAGCACCCGCUCGUGGAGGCGACACUCGCGCACGGUACACACGCAGCACACGCAGAGACCCUCGGUGCGGCAGAAGAGCUCGAGCGGCCGGCCGUGCCGGGGGCAGCGCGCGCCGAGGCCUGGAUCGGGGCCGGGGCCGGGGCCGGGGCCGGGCAUGGCGCGCAGCUCCUCCACCACCCCGCUCAGAGCCACGUUGCGACGCAGCUCGGCGCAGUCCGGGAAGGGCUCGCGGCACUCGGGGCACACCUUCUUGCGGCGGCCCCACCAGUCCCGGAUGCAGGCCCCACAGAAGUUGUGUCCGCAGAGCAGCGUCACCGGCUCCUUGUAGAGCUCCAGGCAGAUGGAGCAGACCAGCUGCCACUCCCAGCGCCUGCCCGCUGCAGCACGCCCGUUCCGCCCAGCGCCGAUGGCUCCGGCUCCGAAGCGCACCUGCCUGCCUUCUACUGCCCAGCCUGGGAGAUGGGGUCCAGCUCUCUCUGGUCCCACCCUGGGACCUCAUCCCGCUUCCCGAGAUCCUCAGUCCAACAGCUCUCGUGCAGGGGAUCUGGCCCCAGGUUCUGGAGACUAGAGCCUUGGGAAAGCCAUUGGGCUUCCAAGCCUCCUCCUGGCCAAGGGCCACCAUCAGAACCUCUUCCGAGGCCCUCAUCUGA